rnacentral:tRNA from 1 species
GGGAGUAGAUGGGUGCUGGUGUGCCCGCUGGUCUUCAACACCAGUUCGAGGGGUUAGUAGCUUCUUGGGUGGGUUCGAUUCCCACAUAUUCCCGCCA